AUUAGAACGAAGAUUAAUAGUUGAAUUGCUUGCUACCGACAUGUAAGUGAUAAAAUGAUGACAAUCAGACUCCCUUUACACACAAAGAACACAUUAAAGUUAGAACUAUUAAAACUAUUAAAUCUCUUAGGAUGACGGCGAUACUUUGGCGAAUUCUAUAUGUGUCAACAAUCAACACGAGGACCGUUUAUGAUACAAGCAGUGAAAAUCUCGGAUCUCUCUUCGAACUGUCAUAGAGAAAUCGAUAGGUUAGUGCAAAUUGCAGUUACUAAUUCUUUGGACAACUGAGACAAAGUUCCCAUGCCUGUGAUUAUUAGAUAUACUUUUUGAUAAUUAUGUAUUACUAAUUUUUUCAAUGCAAUAAAGUUUUAAAAUUU